GGAGGCCUCCGUGGUGUGCCCAUUCCUUAGUCUCAAGCAUACAAUGUCCACAAUCGGAGAGGUGAAAGGAAACAUUUAAUUAUGAUGCCUCUUGGUAGCCUGGGAGAUAGAGGACAAGAACAACUUCACUACACGAAAAGGAUGGAGACCAGUGCCUCUGCCUCUGUGCCUUGGAGAUGCUUCCUCUUCAGGGUUGACUUCCAGUACCCGAAGCCUACCCCCAAGUUAGUGCCAUCUUGGUUCCAGCACUCAUGGUCUGCUCCUGGGCUCCCGGCAUCCAAAGAUGUUUGUUUGUUCCUGCUUUCUGGAGAUGCUCAGGCCCUUUCAUUUUGUAGAAGGGUAGAUUGGAUGCUCAUGCACCUAUUGUUUUCUUCAGUGGGAGGUGCUCAAGGCUACAGAUGGCCCCUAACCCCCAGCCGGAUGAACCCUUGUGGCUUAAUGUGGCAUUUCAUGGAUGAAGUGCCCCAGCAGCUCUUAGAGGGAGACAGACCUAGACCCUUCUUGAAAUGGAAAUUAGUGUGUCUCUCAGAGAAGCUGAUUCCUACUUCCUGGUCCACCCUGGAGAGUGGGCCUUUCCUCUUGCUUCCUGGUUCCUAUUCCCUCUUCCUGUUCUUCCUGUAA
rnacentral:lncRNA from 1 species